rnacentral:rRNA from 1 species
UACGUAGGGGGCAAGUGUUGUCCGGAAUCAUUGGGCGUAAAGCGCGUGUAGGCGGUUCGGUAAGUCUGCUGUGAAAGUCCAGGGCUCAACCCUGGGAUGCCGGUGGAUACUGUCGGGCUAGAGUGCGGAAGAGGCGAGUGGAAUUCCUGGUGUAGCGGUGAAAUGCGCAGAUAUCAGGAAGAACACCCGUGGCGAAGGCGGCUCUCUGGGACGGUACUGACGCUGAGACGCGAAAGCGUGGGGAGCGAACAGG